rnacentral:rRNA from 1 species
UACGUAGGGGGCGAGCGUUGUCCGGAGUUACUGGGCGUAAAGGGCAUGCAGGCGGUCAGACGCGUUUUGUGUUACAGCGGAGGGCUUCACUCUCCGAGCAUACGAAAGACGGUGUGACUUGAGGGCUCGAGAGGGACACGGAAUUCCGGGUGGAGUGGUGAAAUGCGUAGAGAUCCGGAGGAACACCGAAGGCGAAGGCAGUGUCCUGGCGAGUAUCCUGACGCUGAGGUGCGAAAGCCAGGGGAGCGAACGGG